UACGUAGGUGGCAAGCGUUGUCCGGAUUUAUUGGGCGUAAAGCGAGCGCAGGCGGUUCCUUAAGUCUGAUGUGAAAGCCCACGGCUCAACCGUGGAAGGUCAUUGGAAACUGGUCGACUUGAGUGCAGAAGAGGGAAGUGGAAUUCCAUGUGUAGCGGUGAAAUGCGUAGAGAUAUGGAGGAACACCAGUGGCGAAGGCGGCUUCCUGGUCUGUAACUGACACUGAGGCGCGAAAGCGUGGGGAGCAAACAGGAUUAGAUACCCCU
rnacentral:rRNA from 1 species